GGUCCUACGGGGGGCAGCAGUGGGGGAUAUUGCACAAUGGGGGAAACCCUGAUGCAGCAACGCCGCGUGAGUGAAGAAGUAUUUCGGUAUGUAAAGCUCUAUCAGCAGGGAAGAGAAUGACGGUACCUGACUAAGAAGCCCCGGCUAACUACGUGCCAGCAGCCGCGGUAAUACGUAGGGGGCAAGCGUUAUCCGGAUUUACUGGGUGUAAAGGGAGCGUAGACGGCAGCGCAAGUCUGGAGUGAAAUGCCGGGGUUCAACCCCGGAACUGCUUUGGAAACUGUGCAGCUAGAGUGCGGGAGAGG
rnacentral:rRNA from 1 species